UACGGAGGGUGCGAGCGUCGUUCGGAAUCACUGGGCGUAAAGGGCGUGUAGGCGGUCCGCUAAGUCUGAUGUGAAAGCCCGGGGCUCACCCCCGGAAGUGCAUUGGAAACUGGCGGACUCGAGUCCCGGAGAGGAGAGUGGAAUUCCUGGUGUAGCGGUGAAAUGCGUAGAUAUCCGGAGGAACACCGGUGGCGAAGGCGGCUUCCUGGACCGACACUGACGCUGAGGCGCGAAAGCUAGGGGAGCAAACGGG
rnacentral:rRNA from 1 species